rnacentral:rRNA from 2 species
UGGGGAAUAUUGCACAAUGGAGGAAACUCUGAUGCAGCGACGCCGCGUGAACGAUGAAGGCUUUCGGGUCGUAAAGUUCUGUCCUUGGGGACGAUAAUGACGGUACCCAAGGAGGAAGCCCCGGCUAACUACGUGCCAGCAGCCGCGGUAAUACGUAGGGGGCGAGCGUUGUCCGGAAUUAUUGGGCGUAAAGGGUUCGUAGGCGGUUAUUUAAGUCAGAUGUGAAAGGCAUAGGCUCAACCUGUGUAAGCAUUUGAAACUGAGUAACUUGAGUUAAGGAGAGGAAAGUGGAAUUCCUAGUGUAGCGGUGAAAUGCGUAGAUAUUAGGAGGAAUACCAGUGGCGAAGGCGACUUUCUGGACUUAUACUGACGCUGAGGAACGAAAGCGUGGGGAGCAAACAGG